CCACUCCCUCCAACGGCAAGACCUAGUACAAUAUACCUGGAUCUAAAAAUAAUCUCGUUCUCCCUCACCAGUCACCACGCAACACCCCGUCAUUCCCUUCACUGUGCCAACCGUGGUUCUCAGCAGCAUCGCCAUCCGCUUUUCCCCCUCAGCACGUCGUGAAUCCAUGAAUCCGAACCUUGGUUGCCAUCGCGUUUGUCGUUGCAGGUUCACAUGCAGGAGACGAGGCUCUCGUUGUGGGUUCCCGUGAUAACUGUCACUGGUUAGCGUGAACAUCCAUGGUUUCUCGUACGGGCGCUCUCCAUCCGCUUCUUCACUGGCAGCUCCGUGCCCCUCCGCAUCUUCUGCUCUCAUAUCCUUUCUUGUUUCCUUGAACUUAUUCACUGCUCAGUCAAAAACUCAUGUCUUCCGGCGAAGACAACAUGGCGGCGAUAGAGUGGAAGUGAUAGCAACAAAGAUCAGAACAUACCUGAGGCCCAAGCUAUGGAUGAAGACAGACCCGAGACCCACGAUGGAAGGCCCAAGAGAAGUACCAAGCGACCUGCGUAUCUGGACAAUUACACAUAACAAUUAUUGGGGAAGAAUUAAGGGAGUUAUUUACAACUGUUUUUCCAUUUCAGAAUUCUGUUAGAAAAGCUGCUAGGAACCCGUUAUUGCAAUCAUGCUUUGUAAAUUUUAUUACACAGAAUCACCCCACGAAAUGUAUUUAAAUAAGAUUGCAAUGAAUUAAAUGGUAAGAAGAAUUCCAUAAACUUUGCUCAUGUGGAAGCAGAAAGCACUGAGAAUGGUAUCGAUAUUGUGAAGCGUAUGGGUCGUUACAGUGGUGGCAAUGAGGAGUAAAGCUCUAAACCUGGUUCAUGUCCUUGAUAGUGCUGCUGCUGCUACUACAACUGCACCUGUUGUUGUCUCACCUAUGAGACUUUGGAUUCAUGUCCUUCUCUAACAAUACAAAUUUAAGUUGUACGAGGGAAGAGGCUCUGGAUUUCGGUGCCUUUAGCGUUUCUGAUGGAGGGAAGCAGUUACUUGAUAACAUAUUGUGCAUUAAUAUGAGUGGAUUGACUGGACCUAUUCAAUUUGGUUUAGAUAGAUCUCCUCUAAAUCCAUCAUAUGGCAUUCUUAAUGUAAUUGCUACAGGUUAUAGGAGAAUCGGCUACUGGUCUAGUUACUCUGACCUUUCUGUAAUAACCCCUGAGAAACUUCAUGCAGAGCCUGCCAAUCGUUCAAUUUGAAGCCAACAUCUAAACUGUGUCAUAUGGCCAGGAAAUACAACAGAAAAGCCUCAUGGAUGGAUUUUCCCAAAUAACGGGAGGUAACUGAGAAUUGGAAUUCCCAACAGAGUUAGCUAUUAAGAUAUGAUCUCCCAAAUAAAUGACACCAAUGCAAUUCAAGGAUAUUGCAUAGAUAUAUUCCUAGCUGCCUUUAAAUUGCUUCCCUAUGCAGUUCAAUACAAGUUCAUUCUGUUUGGAGAUGGACACAAGAACCCAAGCUACUGUGAUCUUGUCAACAUGAUUACUUCUGAUGUAAGUAAUA